UACGUAGGUGGCAAGCGUUGUCCGGAUUUAUUGGGUUUAAAGGGUGCGUAGGCGGCCCGGUAAGUCAGUGGUGAAAUCUCCUUGCUUAACAAGGAAACUGCCAUUGAUACUGCUGGGCUUGAGUACAGAUGCUGUGGGCGGAAUAUGACAUGUAGUGGUGAAAUACUUAGAGAUGUCAUAGAACACCGAUUGCGAAGGCAGCUCACAAAACUGUAACUGACGCUGAGGCACGAAAGUGCGGGGAUCAAACAGG
rnacentral:rRNA from 1 species